rnacentral:rRNA from 1 species
AUUGAACGCUGGCGGCAUGCCUUACACAUGCAAGUCGAACGGUAACAGGUCUUCGGAUGCUGACGAGUGGCGAACGGGUGAGUAAUACAUCGGAACGUGCCUAGUAGUGGGGGAUAACUACUCGAAAGAGUGGCUAAUACCGCAUGAGAUCUACGGAUGAAAGCAGGGGAUCGCAAGACCUUGUGCUACUAGAGCGGCCGAUGGCAGAUUAGGUAGUUGGUGGGAUAAAAGCUUACCAAGCCGACGAUCUGUAGCUGGUCUGAGAGGACGAUCAGCCACACCGGGACUGAGACACGGCCCAGACUCCUGCGGGAGGCAGCAGUGGGGAAUUUUGGACAAUGGGCGCAAGCCUGAUCCAGCAAUGCCGCGUGCAGGAUGAAGGCCUUCGGGUUGUAAACUGCUUUUGUACGGAACGAAAAGCCUUGGGUUAAUAUCCUGGGGUCAUGACGGUACCGUAAGAAUAAGCACCGGCUAACUACGUGCCAGCCGCCGCUGUAAAAC